rnacentral:rRNA from 1 species
AUUGAACGCUGGCGGCAGGCCUAACACAUGCAAGUCGAGCGGAUGACGGGAGCUUGCUCCUUGAUUCAGCGGCGGACGGGUGAGUAAUACCUAGGAAUCUGCCUGAUAGUGGGGGACAACGUUUCGAAAGGAACGCUAAUACCGCAUACGUCCUACGGGAGAAAGCAGGGGACCUUCGGGCCUUGCGCUAUCAGAUGAGCCUAGGUCGGAUUAGCUAGUUGGUGAGGUAAUGGCUCACCAAGGCGACGAUCCGUAACUGGUCUGAGAGGAUGAUCAGUCACACUGGAACUGAGACACGGUCCAGACUCCUACGGGAGGCAGCAGUGGGGAAUAUUGGACAAUGGGCGAAAGCCUGAUCCAGCCAUGCCGCGUGUGUGAAGAAGGUCUUCGGAUUGUAAAGCACUUUAAGUUGGGAGGAAGGGCAGUAAGCUAAUACCUUGCUGUUUUGACGUUACCGACAGAAUAAGCACCGGCUAACUCUGUGCCAGCAGCCGCCGCGGUAA